rnacentral:tRNA from 1 species
ACCACGGUGGUCUAGCGGUUAGAACGCUGGCCUUGUAAUCCUGGGGUCUCGGGUUCGAUUCCCGGCGGUGACC